CCUUGACAUGCGCAGCCCGCGCGCCUGGGCCCGGGUCCCGCUCCCGCCCGCCGCCCCGGCCCCCGGCCCCCGAGCAGAGCCGGCGUUCCUGGCACGCGUGCGGCCGAGGCCCCCGCGGUGCUCGGCCCCGGCCCGGGGUACGGCUGCCCGGGACGCACGGGGUCCCGAGAGCGCGGAGACGCGGCCUCCUCCGGGGAGGGCGCCCGGCUGCUGCCGCGGCCCCGGGACGGCGGCCCUGAGUUUCGAAGCUGAAAAGGUCCGAUUCGGUCUGAUGUACCAGAACAGCCACAAUUCUAUGCCAACACUUCCAUGAGGGCAGCCGUCUUUCCCAUAGAAUCUCUGGGACCUCAGACCGGACAGCCCGAACGGUUCAGGCAGAGGGCGCUAUGGAGCCGGCAGACGGGAUGUGUGUAGCCUGUGGAUGCUCCGCAAGGAGAGGCCCAGAGAUGUUAUGAACGACAUCCGCCAGCCAUUGGAGCCGCAUUCCACUCUUUUCUCUGGUGCAGCGGACAGGAAUUCAACUCAAAUACAGUAAGAUUAUUUGCAGUGAUUUAUAAAGAUACAUAAACGAUUGCAAGAUAAAUAAAGCUGAUGAGGAGCAUGAAGCAAAAGGAAGAUAAGGAGAGGAAGGCAGCGUGAAGCCGCGGUGAGGUGAGUGCCUACGACGCGUGGCGUGAGGUCCUGGACCCUCACUUGAAGUGGCCACAAAUUUGCUUCUAGAAUUUUUAAGUAGUUCGUAUAUAGGUCACACCAUCUGUCACACAUGUCCUGUGGAGGAGGAGGAGGAUGUAUUUUUAAAAAAUGGACAUAGUAAUUUUCCAAAAAUGGACAUAGCAGUAAUUCUAGACCCUCAUAAUUUU